rnacentral:rRNA from 1 species
AUUGAACGCUGGCGGCAGGCCUAACACAUGCAAGUCGAACGGUAACAGGAAGCAGCUUGCUGCUUCGCUGACGAGUGGCGGACGGGUGAGUAAUGUCUGGGAAACUGCCUGAUGGAGGGGGAUAACUACUGGAAACGGUGGCUAAUACCGCAUAACGUCGCAAGACCAAAGAGGGGGACCUUCGGGCCUCUUGCCAUCAGAUGUGCCCAGAUGGGAUUAGCUUGUUGGUGAGGUAACGGCUCACCAAGGCGACGAUCCCUAGCUGGUCUGAGAGGAUGACCAGCCACACUGGAACUGAGACACGGUCCAGACUCCUACGGGAGGCAGCAGUGGGGAAUAUUGCACAAUGGGCGCAAGCCUGAUGCAGCCAUGCCGCGUGUAUGAAGAAGGCCUUCGGGUUGUAAAGUACUUUCAGCGGGGAGGAAGGUGUUGUGGUUAAUAACCGCAGCAAUUGACGUUACCCGCAGAAGAAGCACCGGCUAACUCCGUGCCAGCAGCCGCGGUAAUACGGAGGGUGCAAGCGUUAAUCGGAAUUACUGGGCGUAAAGCGCACGCAGGCGGUCUGUCAAGUCGGAUGUGAAAUCCCCGGGCUCAACCUGGGAACUGCAUUCGAAACUGGCAGGCUUGAGUCUUGUAGAGGGGGGUAGAAUUCCAGGUGUAGCGGUGAAAUGCGUAGAGAUCUGGAGGAAUACCGGUGGCGAAGGCGGCCCCCUGGACAAAGACUGACGCUCAGGUGCGAAAGCGUGGGAGCAAACAGGAUUAGAUACCCUGGUAGUCCACGCCGUAAACGAUGUCUACUUGGAGGUUGUGCCCUUGAGGCGUGGCUUCCGGAGCUAACGCGUUAAGUAGACCGCCUGGGGAGUACGGCCGCAAGGUUAAAACUCAAAUGAAUUGACGGGGGCCCGCACAAGCGGUGGAGCAUGUGGUUUAAUUCGAUGCAACGCGAAGAACCUUACCUGGUCUUGACAUCCACAGAANNNUCCAGAGAUGGAUUNGUGCCUUCGGGAACUGUGAGACAGGUGCUGCAUGGCUGUCGUCAGCUCGUGUUGUGAAAUGUUGGGUUAAGUCCCGCAACGAGCGCAACCCUUAUCCUUUGUUGCCAGCGAUUAGGUCGGGAACUCAAAGGAGACUGCCAGUGAUAAACUGGAGGAAGGUGGGGAUGACGUCAAGUCAUCAUGGCCCUUACGACCAGGGCUACACACGUGCUACAAUGGCGCAUACAAAGAGAAGCGACCUCGCGAGAGCAAGCGGACCUCAUAAAGUGCGUCGUAGUCCGGAUUGGAGUCUGCAACUCGACUCCAUGAAGUCGGAAUCGCUAGUAAUCGUGGAUCAGAAUGCCACGGUGAAUACGUUCCCGGGCCUUGUACACACCGCCCGUCACACCAUGGGAGUGGGUUGCAAAAGAAGUAGGUAGCUUAACCUUCGGGAGGGCGCUUACCACUUUGUGAUUCAUGACUGGGGUGAAG